rnacentral:lncRNA from 1 species
AUAAAGUGUUUGCAAUAGGCAGGGAUUUCCCAGAGUGACUCAUCGUAUAGUAUUUAGAAGAGACUUGCCAUACUUUUAAAGUCAGUUGUGGCAUAUGAAAUUCUCGGUAACUUUCCACCCUUCUUUGUGCACUGAACGAACGCGUACUAAACUUCUGUCAGUUGCAAAGCACUAGUUUGGCAUGUUGUCAAAGGCACAGUCCUGGUCCCAGCAUUUCAGAAAAGAAAAGCAUUAAAAAUGCAAGAAGAAUUCUGUAAGCUGUGUUAAGAUCAGACCGAAGAUGAUUUUGAUGCCAAACGACGGCAGAAACAAGAAAACAUUGAAAAAGUCGGUGCUUGAGAGAGGAGACCAAGGAAGACAGCCAGCCUCCGAGGAAGCUUGAAGGAUGAUCGCAGACAGGGAAGAUGGGUUAGGGAGUGCUGAGAAUAAAGCACCAGCCGAGAAGAUUCAAAACCAAGAGAGAAAGGGGGAAGGCAAAUAUCACUCUUGGAAGGAUGACGAGAUAGAGCAAGAGGAAAUCCCCAUGGCUUGACUGAGAGAGGAAACAAAGAAAAGCCCUUUUGGUUCUCAGGGACUGUGGAGAGAAGGCCAUGGGUAGGUUGCGACUGGUUUUCUAAGUUUCCUAAAGAAAUUGAGGCAGAGUGCCAGGCAAA